GAUGAACGCUAGCUACAGGCUUAACACAUGCAAGUCGAGGGGAAACGAUGAGAGAGCUUGCUCUCUUAGUCGUCGACCGGCGCACGGGUGAGUAACGCGUAUCCAACCUGCCUCUGACUGAGGGAUAACCCGUCGAAAGUCGGCCUAAUACCUCAUGGCAUCGUCUGCGGGCAUCCAACGACGAUUAAAGAUUUCAUCGGUCAGGGAUGGGGAUGCGUCUGAUUAGCUUGUUGGCGGGGUAACGGCCCACCAAGGCGACGAUCAGUAGGGGUUCUGAGAGGAAGGUCCCCCACAUUGGAACUGAGACACGGUCCAAACUCCUACGGGAGGCAGCAGUGAGGAAUAUUGGUCAAUGGGCGAGAGCCUGAACCAGCCAAGUAGCGUGCAGGAAGACGGCCCUAUGGGUUGUAAACUGCUUUUAUGCGGGGAUAAAGUGAGGGA
rnacentral:rRNA from 1 species